CCUACGGGGCGCAGCAGUGAGGAAUAUUGGUCAAUGGUCGGGAGACUGAACCAGCCAAGCCGCGUGAGGGAUGAAGGUACAGAGUAUCGUAAACCUCUUUUGUCAGGGAACAAAGGCGGGGACGUGUCCCCGGAUGAGUGUACCUGAAGAAAAAGCAUCGGCUAACUCCGUGCCAGCAGCCGCGGUAAUACGGAGGAUGCGAGCGUUAUCCGGAUUUAUGGGGUUUAAAGGGUGCGCAGGCGGUCUGUUAAGUCAGCGGUCAAAGCCCGGGGCUCAACCCCGGCCCGCCGUUGAAACUGGCAGUCUCGAGUUGGAGAGAAGUAUGCGGAAUGCGCGGUGUAGCGGUGAAAUGCAUAGAUAUCGCGCAGAACUCCGAUUGCGAAGGCAGCAUGCCGGCUCCACACUGACGCUGAGGCACGAAAGCGUGGGUAUCGAACAGGAUUAGAUACCCGGGUAGUC
rnacentral:rRNA from 1 species